rnacentral:misc_RNA from 1 species
UGCUGGGAGUGUGUACUGG